GUUAUUUUGGCAGAUUAGUGCAAAAGAUUUAGAAUCUUUAUAUGUAAAUAUUUACAAAUAAUA
rnacentral:tRNA from 1 species